rnacentral:rRNA from 1 species
UACGUAGGUGGCAAGCGUUGUCCGGAUUUACUGGGCGUAAAGGGCGUGCAGGCGGUUUGUUAAGUGCAGGGUGAAAGCUCCCGGCUCAACUGGGAGAGGGCCUUGCAUACUGGCAAACUCGAGGGAGGCAGAGGAAAGUGGAAUUCCCGGUGUAGUGGUGAUAUGCGUAGAUAUCGGGAGGAACACCUGUGGCGAAGGCGGCUUUCUGGGCCUUAACUGACGCUGAGACGCGAAAGCGUGGGGAGCGAACCGG